CCCAGGCCUUGGAUCUGAAUCCACUGAGCGCAGUAGUAGUGGUGGUGCUGCUCUUGGUAACUAUGAAGCCUACAAACCCUCCACUGGAGCCAUGGGAGACCGUAUGUCUGCCCUGAAGCAAGCAUUUCAGUCUCAGUAUAAAAACCACUUUGUGGCAGCAUCUGGUGUUCCUCCCAAACUCACCACAAAGUCCAGCAGCUCCUCCGGGUGGACCAGUGCAGG